rnacentral:rRNA from 1 species
AACGAACGCUGGCGGCAGGCCUAACACAUGCAAGUCGAACGCCCUAGCAAUAGGGAGUGGCAGACGGGUGAGUAACACGUGGGAACGUGCCCUUCGGUUCGGAAUAACUCAGGGAAACUUGAGCUAAUACCGGAUACGUGCGAGAGCAGAAAGAUUUAUCGCCGAAGGAUCGGCCCGCGUCCGAUUAGCUAGUUGGUGAGGUAAUGGCUCACCAAGGCGACGAUCGGUAGCUGGUCUGAGAGGAUGACCAGCCACACUGGGACUGAGACACGGCCCAGACUCCUGCGGGAGGCAGCAGUGGGGAAUAUUGGACAAUGGGCGCAAGCCUGAUCCAGCCAUGCCGCGUGAGUGAUGAAGGCCCUAGGGUUGUAAAGCUCUUUCGCCAGGGACGAUAAUGACGGUACCUGGAUAAGAAGCACCGGCUAACUACGUGCCAGCAGCCGCCGUAA